rnacentral:ncRNA from 1 species
UACUUAUCCAGAAAGACCGAGGGAUUGGGCCCGACGACGUCUUGGCAACCUGAAAUAAAACAAGGUGCCAACUCCCAUUUCGCCCCGGCGGAAGAAGAUAAGUA